rnacentral:tRNA from 2 species
GGGCCCAUAGCUCAGUUGGUAGAGCGCAUCGCUGGCAGCGAUGAGGUCGCCGGUUCGAACCCGGCUGGGUCCACCA